GGCGCCGUACCCAAGCGGUAAGGGAGUGCACUGCAAAUGCACGAUGCAUCAGUUCGAUUCUGAUCGGCGCCU
rnacentral:tRNA from 1 species